GACAGAGGGUGCAAACGUUGCUCGGAAUCACUGGGCGUAAAGGGCGUGUAGGCGGGAAGGAAAGUCAGAUGUGAAAUCCCCCAGGCUCAACCUGGGAACUGCAUUUGAAACUCCCUUUCUUGAGUACCGGAGAGGAAAGUGGGAAUUCCUGGUGUAGAGGUGAAAUGCGCAGAUAUCAGGAGGAACACCAGUGGCGAAGGCGGCCCGCUGGGCAGUGGCUGACGCUGAGGCGCGACAGCGUGGGGAGCAAACAGG
rnacentral:rRNA from 1 species